AGUGAACGCUGGCGGCAGGCCUAACACAUGCAAGUCGAACGGCAGCACGGGGGAGCUUGCUCCCUGGGUGGCGAGUGGCGGACGGGUGAGGAAUGCGUCGGAAUCUGCCUUUUCGUGGGGGAUAACGUAGGGAAACUUACGCUAAUACCGCAUGCGACCCUGCACCGGGAGGUGCUGGGCGAAAGUGGGGGACCUUCGGGCCUCACGCGGAAAGAUGAGCCGACGCCGGAUUAGCUAGUUGGCGGGGUAACGGCCCACCAAGGCGACGAUCCGGAGGUGGUCUGAGAGGAUGAGCAGCCACACUGGAACUGAGACACGGUCCAGACUCCUACGGGAGGCAGCAGUGGGGAAUAUUGGACAAUGGGCGCAAGCCUGAUCCAGCCAUGCCGCGUGAGUGAAGAAGGCCUUCGGGUUGUAAAACUCUGUUAUAAGAGAAGAACAAAUUGUAGAGUAACUGCUACAGUCUUGACGGUAUCUUAUCAGAAAGCCACGGCUAACUACGUGCCAGCCGCCGCCGUUA
rnacentral:rRNA from 1 species